CAAUGGGGGCAACCCUGAUCCAGCCAUGCCGCGUGUGUGAAGAAGGCUUUCGGGUUGUAAAGCACUUUCAGUGAGGAGGAAAACUCUGCGACUAAUACUCGUAGGGCUUGACGUUACUCACAGAAGAAGCACCGGCUAACUCCGUGCUAGCAGCCGCGGUAAUACGGAGGGUGCAAGCGUUAAUCGGAAUUACUGGGCGUAAAGCGUGCGUAGGCGGUUGUCUAAGUCAGAUGUGAAAGCCCCGGGCUCAACCUGGGAACUGCAUUUGAAACUGGGCAGCUAGAGUUUGGUAGAGGAAGGUAGAAUUCCUAGUGUAGCGGUGAAAUGCGUAGAUAUUAGGAGGAAUACCAGUGGCGAAGGCGGCCUUCUGGACCAAAACUGACGCUGAGGUGCGAAAGCGUGGGUAGCAAACAGGAUUAGAUACCCUGGUAGUCCACGCCGUAAACGAUGUCUACUAGCCGUUGGGACUCUUGAAGUCUUAGUGGCGCAGCUAACGCACUAAGUAGACCGCCUGGGGAGUACGGCCGCAAGGUUAAAACUCAAAUGAAUUGACGGGGGCCCGCACAAGCGGUGGAGCAUGUGGUUUAAUUCGACGCAACGCGAAGAACCUUACCUGGCCUUGACAUGCAGAGAACUUUCCAGAGAUGGAUUGGUGCCUUCGGGAACUCUGACACAGAUGCUGCAUGGCG
rnacentral:rRNA from 1 species